rnacentral:rRNA from 1 species
GACGCACGCUGGCGGCGUGCUUAACCCAUGCCAGUCGAACGAAGUGGCGAACGGGUGAGUAAUACGUGGGUAACCUGCCCUCCUUUUUGGGAUAAGCCUUGGAAACGGGGUCUAAUACCGAAUAAAGGGGGAUGGGCUCGGGGCCUAUCAGCUUGUUGGUGGGGUGAUGGCCUACCAAGGGUGUGCCGGGUAGCCGGCCUGAGAGGGUGACCGGCCACAGUGGGACGGAGAUACGGCCCAGACUACUACGGGAGGCAGCAGUGGGGGAUAUUGCACAAUGGGCGAAAGGCUGAUGCAGCGACGCCGCGUGGGGGAUGAAGGUUUUCGGGGUGUAAACCUCUUUCGCAAGCGAACGGGUAGGUGGAGAAGAAGCGCCGGCUAACUACGUGCCAGCAGCCGCGGUAAUAC